rnacentral:rRNA from 1 species
CCUACGGGUGGCAGCAGUGGGGAAUAUUGCGCAAUGGGCGAAAGCCUGACGCAGCGACGCCGCGUGAGGGAUGAAGGUCUUCGGAUCGUAAACCUCUGUCAGCAGGGAAGAACGGUCACUGUGCUAAUCAGCAGUGAAUUGCCGGUACCUGCAAAGGAAGCACCGGCUAACUCCGUGCCAGCAGCCGCGGUAAUACGGCGGGUGCGAGCGUUAAUCGGAGUUACGGGGCCUAAAGCGCUCGUAGGCGGUAGGUCAAGUCAAGGGUGAAAUCCCCGCGCUCAACGUGGGAACUGCCUUUGAAACUGGCAAACUGGAGUGUGUGAGAGGAUAGUGGAAUUCCAGGUGUAGGAGUGAAAUCCGUAGAUAUCUGGAGGAACAUCAGUGGCGAAGGCGACUAUCUGGCACAUAACUGACGCUGAGGAGCGAAAGCGUGGGUAGCAAACAGGAUUAGAUACCCGGGUAGUC